GUAAAGGGAUUUAGGGGUGAGUUACUAAGUCAGUGUGUGUAAAGGGAUUUAGGGGUGAGUUACUAAGUCAGUGUGUGUGUGAAGGGGUUUAGGGAGUGAGCUACUAAGUCAGUGUGUGUGUGAAGGGGUUUAGGGGUGAGCUACUAAGUCAGUGUGUGUGUGUGUGUGUGAAAGGGUUUAUGGGUGAGUUACUAAGUCAGUGUGUGUAAAGGGAUUUAGGGGUGAGUUACUAAGUCAGUGUGUGUGUGAAGGGGUUUAGGGAGUGAGCUACUAAGUCAGUGUGUGUGUGUGUGUGAAAGGGUUUAUGGGUGAGCUACUAAGUCAGUGUGUGUGUGAAGGGGUUUAGGGGUGAGCUACUAAUAUCAGUGUGUGUGUGAAGGGGUUUAGGGGUGAGCUACUAAGUCAGUGUGUGUGUGAAGGGGUUUAGGGGUGAGCUACUAAGUCAGUGUGUGUGUGAAGGGGUUUAGGGAUGAGCUACUAAGUCAGUGUGUGUGUGUGAAGGGGUUUCUGGAGUGAGCUACUAAGUCAGUGUGUGUGUGAAGGGGUUUAGGGAGUGAGCUACUAAGUCAGUGUGUGUGUGUGAAGGGGUUUAGGGAGUGAGCUACUAAGUCAGUGUGUGUGUGUGAAGGGGUUUAGGGAGUGAGCUACUAAGUCAGUGUGUGUGUGUGAAGGGGUUUCUGGAGUGAGCUACUAAGUCAGUGUGUGUGUGAAGGGGUUUAGGGGUGAGCUACUACGUUAGUGUGUGUGUGAAGGGGUUUAGGGGUGAGCUACUAAGACAGUGUGUGUGCGAAGGGGUUUAGGGGUGAGCUACUAAGUCA
rnacentral:lncRNA from 1 species